rnacentral:tmRNA from 1 species
UUAAAAAACGGGAACAAACUGUAAUUGCGAACAACGAUUACGCUCUUGCCGCCUAAUUAACGGCCGCAAUGUCGACCUGGAGACGUCCGAUAUCCAGCAAGGCAUCAUCUAUCGGGCCACGCUACAGGAGGUUCCACUUGCCCGCUGCAGGGUGCCGAAUCAAGGGGAUGGAUCUGACUUAGCGCGUUUGUCCGCUUGUCAGUUCCGAGACUAAAGGCAAACUAAACGCGUAGAAACUUGGGUGAUGCCAUUUCGGACAGGGGUUCGACUCCCCUCACCUCCACCA